CUUUAGAUUUUAAUUUAAGGUCUGAUCUGCUCAAUGAUAAUUAAAUAGCCGCAGUAUUUUGACUGUGCGAAGGUAGCAUAAUAAUUAGUUUUUUUAUUGAAAGCUGGAAUGAAUGAUUUGACGAAGGAUUGACUGUCUCUUUAAAAUUUAUUUUGAAUUUAACUUUUAAGUGAAAAGGCUUAACUUAUUUUUAAAGACGAGAAGACCCUAUAGAGUUUAACAUAUUUAUUUCAUAGAAUUAUUUGGAAUUUAUUAAUUUUCUGAUUAGUUUGUUUGGUUGGGGUGAUUGGAAGAUUGGAUAAACUCUUCUAUGCUUUUCUACUAAUUAGUAAUCUUUUUUUCUAUAAUUUUUAAGUUUAAAUUAAAUUACCUUAGGGAUAACAGCGUUAUUUUCCUUUAGAGUCCUUAUCAAUGGGAAAGUUUGCGACCUCGAUGUUGGAUUAAAAUUUAAGCUAGGCGCAGUAGCUUAUGCAAUUAAGUCUGUUCGACUUUUGAAAUU
rnacentral:rRNA from 1 species